rnacentral:lncRNA from 1 species
UACCAGGCACAUAACUCAAUUUAAGAGAGUCCUAUGUCGGGGUUGGGGAUUUAGCCCAGUGGUAGAGCACUUGCCUAGCAACCUCAAGGCCCUGGGUUCGGUCCCCAGCUCCGGAAAAAAAAAGAAAAAGAAAGAGAGAGAGAGUCCUAUGUCUGCUUGUUCCAAAAUGGUUCUAGACAUGCAUAUGCAUGCUUAGUUUUUCUCCUUGUUCCCAUAAGUUUACAUGAAAGGAGACAUGGUAUCCUUGUAAGCUGAGCAAUGGUGCCUUUAAUCCCAGUGCUCAGGAGACAAAGAAGGCGGGGGACUCUCUGAGUUUAAGGUCAGCCUGCUACACAAAGAAGUUCCAGAGCAGUGAAGACUAUACAGGAACACUGUCUCAAAGGACCAAGAAGAAAAAGAAAAGGAAAACUGCUAUCCUGAGCUGGGUGUAGUGCCUUAGGCCUUUAAUUCCAACACAGGUACAGGCAGAUGACAGGAACACUGAGCCUAUUGUAUAUAGAUGUACAUAGUGAGCUCCAGGACUGCCAAGACUAACUACAUAUCGAGAUUCUGUCUCAAAUAAAAAAUACGAGGGGGGGAAACCUGCUUGGUACUAGUGUAUAAUAUGAUCUUAGCACUUGGGAGGUAGAGUCAACAGGGUGGGAAGUUGGAAGCCAAAUUGGAUUAAAUGGGACUGUCCCAAAAGAAAAGUUUAACAUUUAUUAUUGGGUUAUGUUUAUAAUUUGUACUGUCUGGAAUUCAAAGCUGUACUUAAAUCCACAAUCCUACCUCGGCCUCCUAUGCUAGAAUCAUAGAUAUAUACCCCAAGUUUUUCUCAGAUUCUUGCUUGACUUUGGAAUCUUUUCGUAUAGUCUUUUUUUUUUUUUUAUUACACUUUCUAUGAUGUGCAGAGGGUACAUUGCAUGUGCAUAUGUAGAAGUUAGAUGACUGCUUUCUGAAGUGUUCUCUCCUGACUUUUUUAGUUCUGGGUUGUAUUAGUUAGGGUUUUAUUGCUGUGAAGAGACACCAUGACCAAGAUAACUUUUAUAAAGGACAACGCUUAGUUGGGAGUGGCUUGAAAUUUCAGAAGUUCAGUCCAUUAUCAUCAUGGUGGGAAGAAU